rnacentral:lncRNA from 1 species
AAGGUAGUAAGCAACUAAAAGAAAUAGCAGCCUGCCUGGUAUUCUUGGGCCUGGCUCAAAGAAUGGGGCUCUCCUGAGUAUGGCAGUGGCUUUCCAGAGGAUCUCGGUACCUUCCUCACUUCUGGGACCUCUGCAGACUGGUGUGGGACAGAGUGGGUCUGUCUGGCAGCUGAGCUGAGCAUGGGAAGAGCAGGCAUCCGACUGUCCAUUAUAGCUGUGCUUCUCCCUUUUGGUCCAAAAAAGCAAGAUUUGGAAUAUUCUCGUGAGGAGAUAAGAGUCAGUCAUUGGUGGAGGUGUAUUGUCAUGGUGUUCAAUUUUCUUUACAAGCUCUUGACUUCCUGAACAUGGGAUGAAUGAAACCAAGUGCUGGACCUGGACUACCUCCAGCUCAGAAGGCCCUUCGGGGUUCUUUUAAGAUGAUGUGCCAGGGCUGGACCUGUCUGCUGUGGGUGCUGCCCACCAUUCCCUCUUGUGAGCAUCUCGCACCAGGCCGCACGCAGCCACCCCGCUGCCACUGUCCUGCUCAGCAUCGCUAACAGCUGUGCAGGCACCACAGGGAUCUGCCCUGCCAUGGGCAGCACUGCCUGCAUGUGCCGUGUCUGUCUGCAGCCCUUUGCUGUGCAUGGGAGGCGGUGUGCCCUGUGGGGCACUGCUCAGUGCAUGCAGUACCAGCAGGUUCUCCUGAACAAAAUUGGUACAGGCAGUUGGAUUGUGUGAUGGUUUCUUGGCGUUUGUGGUUAAUUUGUGGUGCUCUGAAGGACAAAGCCAGUGAGGAGAGCCAGUGGGUGUGAGGAGCAGUUGUAGAUAAGAUCGUUUGCUUUGUUGUUAAAGCAGCAAGCCCUCUGGAGGCCAGCGUGAGCUCCUUUCGUUGCAGAGCAAGGACACCACAAGGGUGGAACCAGGAACUGCUUCAUUUCUUCUUGUCCGAGGGUCCCUGCGCUAUGCUGUGCUGUAUGAAACCCGACAGCCUCAUUUUCCUAGCAAGAAGUUGAAAUUUUCAUUCUGCUUUUGUCUCCAGUUUUUGGACAAGACUAAAAAUUCAGUCCUAAAAAUUCAUCCUUUUAGAACUGAAAGAUCAGUGCCUGCAUUACUCCCUGGUGGUACAGGCUGGUGUGCCUAGCAGCAGGGGUCAAUAUGGUAGUUUAAGGACCAGUAGAGUAGUUUAGCAAAGGAGCUCUGGGGUCACAACAGAAUCAAAGAAUCAUAGAGUGGCCUGGGUGGAAAAGGACCAUAACGAUCACUUAGAUUCAACCCCCUGCCAUGGGCUGCUGCUGUCUUUGCAUCUCAGCAGGUGCAGGGACAUUUUCCUCAGAUUUCACAUGUAUUGUUUUGGAAGUUGCUUUAUUAUUAUGGCCAAAGACACAGCUCAAUAGAAACAGAAGCAGUUGCUGGGAGGUACGUGGCUGCUUCCUCCGGCGGUGCCCCGCAGUCCCUCCCCGCACACAGCAGCUCCGCUGGGUGCAGUGCCCCACGCUGACAGGGGCUGCCUUCAUCUCUUGUAUUUAUCUACAGUUCCUUUGUGCCCUAAGGGAUUGAUUUAUUUCUGUGUAUUACACCUGAAUGAUUUUCCAUUGUCAAUUUAAAAAAGUGAUAUUUGUUUAGAAGUUUAACAAAAAAGUUGAGGAGCAUUGAUAAUGCACAGAAAUCUGUCAGGAAAGCAUCUUCCACCUGGGAGUAUUUUUCAGCUUUUCAGCAGUUAAAUAGAAGUACAGAACACAGCCUUUGCAGUCCCCGGUAACAUAAAGCUCCGUAAGUGCUGCAUUAACGGCAGCAGGUCGUUACUUACUGCUCACAGCGAAGCCUCCUGCGCUGCCCUUCUGUGCUCAUUGGUGAGUUCCUUCCAGCCGGGCACUCCGUCCCUUCCUUGCGAUGAUGUCCUCCACUGCUGUGAGUGAGUGCUUUGGAGCUGGGCUGAGGAGCUGCUGACCGUGCCUUGCUGCUCUGCCUGCUGUGCUCCAAAUGUCAGUGCUGCAGCUGGGCAGUGCUAUUUUAGUGCGCUCAGACCUUUCAUGGAGAUCAGCUUUGAGUUGGGUUCAAAAGAGACACAUUUGUGCGUUUAGCAAAGCAGUGAGCUGAAGUUAAGGGCGGGUGUUUUCUUUUCUUAAGCAGUUCCCAGGCCUGGCCGUGACCUAUUCUGUAAGGCUGGCUGCCCCGAUGGCUUCUGUUUUUGUUAAUGGGAGUGUUCUGCACUGGAGUUCACAGGGUUGCGUCACGUUUCUCUGGGCAUGCUCUGAGGCCCAGAGAUUUAUUCUUGGGACAGGUGAUACACCUCUGCUUUAUGGCCAUUUUUUUCUACUUUCUGCAGUUUUGUCUUAUUCUUUUUUUUUUUUUUUACGUUAAUCGCCUGCCUGCCUUCCUCCCUUCCCAUUCUUCUCAUACGUUUACUGAAGGGGCAUUAAAACCAAGCACAAAAUCCAUUGAAUUGUUUGGUAAACAAGGAGCUCAUAUAAUCUCUCAUUAGGAAUGUGAGAAAAUAUUGCUGUUAUAUAUUAAAGUAAAAUUUGUAAAUGGUGUAUGGCAGUGUUAACAGACGUUCAGCAGAUGACUUAAUCUCUGUCUUACAGCACUACCCAGGACCCCCUCGAAUACACAUUUCCCUGGCAGACUCUCCUUCCAUGCUUGCAGGUGUACAGUGCUGCUGCUUCGCCGUGGUGCGCCCAUCCUGCACUCAGCCAGGGUGUGCUGACCUGAGUUAACAGUCCCUGAAGGUCACUGAGUCUUUCUAAGUGGAAUAUGGGGACAUCUUCAGAGACGUUCACAAAAUUGCCUUGCAUUUUUGCUCUAGCUUGCAGCUAUGGAAGAAGUGAGGUUUCCUGGAAACAUCACAUCUGGCAAUCGUCUCAGCAGUGCAGUGUCAUCUUCCCUGCCAGCUGCCCUAACAUGCUGAUAACUGAUGUCCUAAGCCUCUAAGUAUGCACAGAACUGGAAAACUACUGCAGCGGGGGUGAGUCCUCCUCUUCCAAGGAAGAGUCCUUCAUGGGGAAACCUUCCAAUUUCUGUGCUAGGUAGACUGUUAACUCCUGGCUUUGUGCAGGUAGGAGUGUAGGUAUGCAUGAAAUCACUGCAGUGGCAGUGGGACUAUGAAGCCGUAUGCAGGAAUUGUGUGAAUGAUAUGCCAGUCCUGCAUGUGCUGAAGCAGUAAGGACACUGAGGUGAUACAGUUGCCGUCUCUAAUUAUGAGUGGGGUUACCUGUCAGGAGGUUAAUUUGUCAGUGGGACGGGACUUGUGGCUUUUCACGAAAGCAUGUGGAUGAAAUGUUCUGCAGUAUACAAAGACAUGAGGACGCAGAUCUCUGUGGCAUUGAUGCUGAUCUGGCAUCAACAGCACUGAUCUCCAGUGUGAGGUGAAUUCUAGGACAGUUUUGAUGGCAUGCUUUUGCAUGCUUGGGUUUUGAGUGCAGGUUAUUCUCCAUUUGAAGGUCUUGAUUUGAAUCAGGAAGUCUGACUUGAAACAUUCCGAAGUGUGCAGAGGGGUUCUCGGCACUUUGCAGGACUUGGUUCCUUUCCUUGCAUCUUGCAUCACAUGCCUGUUGCUCUCCUGCAGCCUAGAAGUGGGGCUUUGAUGCUGUGAAGUGGUCGUUUGAGUGUCUUCCUGUCUCAUUUCCCACUGCUUCCCCACCCUCUGAAAGGAAAAGAAAAAGGCUGCUUUGAAACAGAAAGUGAAGCAUCUUGUUCUUGUCAGCCCUGCUGUAACAGUAAAGGAAAGCACUGAUGUCCAAUGCGGCAGGCACGGCUGCUGCUUCCCAGCUGAGAAGGUAGGCUGACCAGCAGCUGUGCAGCAAAGCAGUGCUGCCAGAACUGACUUCUCAACUCUGCAUGAUGGAGUUCUGGAAAUGAGCGCUUUCAGCUUUGAUGUUGGGGGAGUGAAUGUUUAACGGACUGUGGUUUUGUGGGACUGUUUCUCUGAAGAAAACAAUACUAACACCAUGUUUAUCUUAAACAGCUAAUUUAGACAAAGGACCUCGGAAUAACAACGUAAGCAGACUGAUACUGCAGUUGAUUUCCAUCUAUUGUAAUGCUGGGGAUCCAGGUUUGUCUUAGAAAAGCUCAUUUGCUUUUUUUGUAGUUUAGUGAGGAGUAGAGUGGAGCUCUGAGGAAUACCGUGCAUUUGUUCUGCAUGCAGGCACGCUUAGUGGUGAGCCCUGGGGGCUGGUCCUGCUUCCCCAGCACUGCCCACCCAAACUCAACAACAUACGUUCAUAACAGUUCUCGUUUGGCUCUACUUACGUACACUGGUUUGAAUCCUCGGAAUGAGAGUACGAAAACGUUAAAUGCAGUCUGCCUUUGAAUGGAAUCUUAAUUUUGUUCUUUAUAGAAGGAUAUAAAUCUAUAUAUUUUUAGAAAUCCUAAUUUUGAAAUCCUAUGUUGUCACUUAGUUCUUGCUAAGCCAGGGGUUCCUUCCUUUGCUUUGCCAAAUAUUUCUGGGCAUUUGAACCCAAAGUAUUUUAAAGUGAGCUGAGGGGCAUCUUUGGAUGGGGCAGCAUGACUUUAUUACCUGAAAGGAAAUGUUAGGUGACAGUGCUUGCCUUUCACAAUGAGUAAAAACCACAGUCUUGGGUGUGUGUUUAACGUACUGAGAUAAAGGAGGAAAAGCUUAAAAACAAUCCUUAAAAAAGGACCUUCUCAUGCUAAAUGUUCAAAGCUGUUCCAGUGGCUUUAAAGAGCUGUUCUGUUUUCAGCCCGUUAGUGAUUCUCCCUCUUGCUUCAGCUUCACUUGUAUUGCUAUUCCACGUUGUUUAUUGUUAGAAAUAGAACAGUAGAAGCAGAGCACCACUUGCCAGGGAAGCAGAAGUGAAACAUCGUUGGCCUUCCUCUCUGAAGAUCAUGAGUAGGCAGCAAAUAUUGGAAAAGGAAGGCAAUGCUGAGUGGGCUGAGUGCACUCAGACACCAGUUGGCCAAUGGAACGUGUGGAUUCCGGUUGGUUUCUCUGAAGCUGUGCAGGGCUUAUGGUGCAGAGGGCAGUUCAAGCUUUGCAGCUGUUAGUAGGAAAUUGUUUUAAAACAUGAUCAUAUGCUGACAAGUAACAGAAUCCAAGGGUGAGCAGCUUUGGAGAUGACUUCUUUGUGUUGUAUGUUGUAUUCUGAGAUGUGUCACUGUAGGAUCGCUUAAUGGCAUGGCUGUACUUCUUGGUUUGCAACGUCAUUCUUGGUUAAAGCUUGCCAGAAUGUUUACAUUAAGGCUACCAAGGUAGUUCUGCCUUCAGUAAAAGGCUGAAGUGUGCAGCUCUGCAUGAGUGUGUGAGGUCCCAGAAGGAGAGAAAUGCUGUGUUCUCAAGUGCAGGCUGCUGAUCUGUGAUGGAUUAAAUGUUACGGCACACAUAAUUUUUUUGUGUGCUUCAGAGAGAAGCAAUCAUUUGUUCUGAGGCAGAAGAUUAAGAGCUUAGAGGGUGGGCAGGAAGCCUCAGCUCUGUGUACAGUUUCACCCCCAUCGGAAUGAUUCCAGACAUCAGGGCAGACUGAAGGGUCACUUCAUUAUGCAAACGUGGAUAUUUUUCCAAAAUGCCAGCCAAUUUUAAUAUAUAAGGAUCUGCAGACACGGCUGUUAUUUCCAGAGGGUCAGAAAGCGGUGAGUGUGAUCGCCAGAAGGACUCCUGCUGUACAUCACGUGCUUUUGGUGGCUUAAGAACAACUGAUAAUGUAUUUCACCCUUAGCCAUAUAAGUCUUUUUCUUCCCCUGAACUCCGAAACUCCUAUCUCCUGGUCUUGUCAUUUUUCUUUUAUUAACAAAAUGAUUUGGAGGUUUGGUGUGAGCUCAGUGCCUAUGAAAGGAAACUGCUUUUAUAGUCCUACUGAUCAGACCUACAUCAGAACCAGAGAAUGCGUUUUCAUGGCCAGAAACAGGAGAAAACUGACCUGAUGUUAUAGCUCAGCUGGUUACGGAGGGGCUGGCCAUGGUGGUGGCCAGGCGGUCCUCGUGCCGCUGCUGCUGGCAGAAGUGAAAGCUGGGCUGGUAGCUCUGUUGCCAUUGGGAACAGGAGCGGGGCUGACAGACUGAGAUCUGAUCUUCUCUAAAUGUACCUUACUGCACCAAACCGCUGCCAUACAUACACAGUGUACCCUAAUCUUAUUAGAGGUCUGUGCCUCAUUAUCAAACCCUUCCAACCCAACUAAAUGUGAAGCCACGUAGACUGUGUAUGUUUACAUCCAGUUGCUGUGAAGGGACUGAAGUGGAAUGAACAAGAUAAAUAUUUUUCUAGAAUAAUCCCUCUAGAACUCCUGCUAAUUACGAAGGCACUGCAGGACUUACAGAUGGGUGUUUUAAGCUAUCAAAGCAUGCCAGCAAAUAUUUUGUGCCUAGCGUUGCCAUGCUGGCUGGUCGAUGCAUGUCAAUCACUGUAGAACAGACCUGGGAGGCCUUACAAGGACCUUUCUCCAGCUCAGCCUGGAUCUGGCCGUGCUCCGAUGGCCAUAGCUCAGGGUGAGACAUCCUGGUGCUCGGGGCACAGGGUGUGGGGUGCUGGGGCUGCUGCGAGUCACAGUAAGCCCAGGGGCUGCAGUGAUCGCACUGUUAGGGUUGCUUGAGGAGGUUCUGGUGCGUGUCAAUACAAAGACAUCGUCGGAACUUCUGGGGAUUUCACUUUGCUUUUUUGAGGAGCCUAGAAAGCUGCAUUGGUGGAAAGUCAUGGUAACAGUGAUUGCUAGAGUAAUCUCGGAAGCAUAGCACACGCUGCAUGCAGUGCUAUGAGACUUGCACAGAUGGUGAUCUGGAACUGUCUUGAAGUACAUCUCCAGAAACGUUCCUUCCACAGCAACCCAUGGUUCAGGCAGCACUAUCAAUUACAGCGUAAUGCAAAACUUCUGCAGUGAAACCCAUCACUGGUGUUCACUGUCACACUUAGGUCUGGUUUGCUGUCACACUUCCACCUGGAAGACCUUCCCUGUGGAGUGUCCUGCAGAACACAGCAGUCCCAGUCUGUGUGACCCAAACUCAGGUGUGUGCCUGUCCUGUCCUGCUUCCUGAGAGCACAGCUUAGGUCAGCAUCUGAUGCUGUUCCUAUAACCGCUCAUUUCAGGAAGAACUUG